AACCCACUGCUCCCCCCCACAGGAAGCCCACGCUGUCCUCACCUUCGCCAUUGACAGCGCCCAGCGCAAGGUGCUGGCGACCACCACCCGCGGCAGCUGCUCUGCAGAGGAGAUGCAGCGCUGCCUCGUGGCUGCCCAGCGUGCGGCCGACGCCAUUUUCCAGUUCUAUCGUGACUGCGUCCGGAGGAAAUACUCCAAAUCGUGACUCUGAGCCCCCCGGGAUGGCCGGACCGUCCCUGUGUGUGUGUCCCCCCCCUCCAACUGUGCCCCCCACCCUGGGGUCAGCCGGACUGUCCCCGUGUCCCCAGUGUUUCCUUAUUGUCACCCCAAUAAAAUCUCUCACAGCCUU